ACGAACGCUGGCGGCAGGCUUAACACAUGCAAGUCGAACGCCCCGCAAGGGGAGUGGCAGACGGGUGAGGAACACGUGGGAACGUACCCUUUGGUUCGGAACAACCCUGGGAAACUAGGGCUAAUACCGGAUACGAGCGAGAGCUGAAAGGUUUACCGCCGAAGGAUCGGCCCGCGUCUGAUUAGCUAGUUGGUGAGGUAACGGCUCACCAAGGCGACGAUCAGUAGCUGGUCUGAGAGGAUGAUCAGCCACAUUGGGACUGAGACACGGCCCAAACUCCUACGGGAGGCAGCAGUGGGGAAUAUUGGACAAUGGGCGCAAGCCUGAUCCAGCCAUGCCGCGUGAGUGAUGACGGCCCUAGGGUUGUAAAGCUCUUUUACCUGGGAAGAUAAUGACGGUACCGGGAGAAUAAGCCCCGGCUAACUUCGU
rnacentral:rRNA from 1 species